rnacentral:rRNA from 1 species
GACGAACGCUGGCGGCGUGCUUAACACAUGCAAGUCGAACGAAGUGGCGAACGGGUGAGUAAUACGUGGGUAACUGCCUUAGACAUUGGGAUAGCCUCGGGAAACCGGGAUUAAUACCAAAUGGUCUAAGAUGGACUAGCGUCCCAUUAGCUAGUUGGUGAGGUAACGGCCCACCAAGGCGACGAUGGGUAGCCGGCCUGAGAGGGUGAACGGCCACAUUGGACUGAGAAGCGGUCCAAACUCCUACGGGAGGCAGCAGUGGGGGAUAUUGCACAAUGGGCGAAAGCCUGAUGCAGCGACGCCGCGUGGGGGAUGAAGGCUUUCGGGUUGUAAACCUCUUUCGCUAUCGAACAGGUAGGUGGAGAAGAAGCGCCGGCUAACGACGUGCCAGCAGCCGCGGUAAUAC